GAUGAACGCUGGCGGCGUGCCUAAUACAUGCAAGUCGAGCGAACAGACGAGGAGCUUGCUCCUCUGACGUUAGCGGCGGACGGGUGAGUAACACGUGGAUAACCUACCUAUAAGACUGGGAUAACUUCGGGAAACCGGAGCUAAUACCGGAUAAUAUAUUGAACCGCAUGGUUCAAUAGUGAAAGACGGUUUUGCUGUCACUUAUAGAUGGAUCCGCGCCGCAUUAGCUAGUUGGUAAGGUAACGGCUUACCAAGGCAACGAUGCGUAGCCGACCUGAGAGGGUGAUCGGCCACACUGGAACUGAGACACGGUCCAGACUCCUAAGGGAGGCAGCAGUAGGGAAUCUUACGCAAUGGGCGAAAGCCUGACGGAGCAGCGCCGCGUGAGUGAUGAAGGUCUUCGGAUCGUAAAACUCUGUUAUUAGGGAAGAACAAAUGUGUAAGUAACUAUGCACGUCUUGACGGUACCUAAUCAGAAAGCAACGGCUAACUACGUG
rnacentral:rRNA from 1 species